rnacentral:lncRNA from 1 species
CCUUGUCAUUCAUCCUUGUUUGACCUUAACAAAGUAGUGGAUCUUGGUCCCCUACCAGUGGCGCCUGGGUGAGGAAAGCUUGGAGGAAUGGGCUGGCUCCCCACGGGUGGCGGCUGGGGUAGGAGGGACCAGAGACCAGCGGCGAAGGCCAACAUGGUGGGUCGGCUGCAGUUGGCACCCUGUAAACAGGAACUCCAAGUCCUCUUUGAACAAUGUGGAAGGCAGAGUUACUCCUCAGCUCCUUCCCUGGGCCUGAAGAGUGGAAGGUGGCGGGUUUCAGGCUGGUCCUCGUUGGCCCCUCACUGUCCUCUGCCUGCUGCUGACCGCAAGGAUCUGUGGUCCUCCGCCUGUUUGGAGAAUAUCGAACUUGGCUGUGAACCGUGAACAGGAGCAGGUGGGUGCCUUGAGCGUUAAUGACACAGAAUUCAUAUAUCACCUCUGCUGCCUGUGGGAGAAGCUUUAUAUUUCAAAAGUGUGUUUAAAGAUUCAGAGACAUUUCUUUUCUCCGUGUGCAGGUAACAUAAUGUGCUGUGAGUCCCUCAGAGCUUAAAGAAGUUAGUUAGAGGGUUUGGUUACCUGCAGGGUUUCAGGUUGGUGUCAGGGGCUGGCCAAUUAGGUCUUAUUCCCUUUUUGAGUCACAUCAGCUUUGAAAAUGUGUGUUAAGUAUUUUCAGGCGGAAUCUUGUUUUAGCCUGGCUUGAAACUCUCCUUAAAUAUCUGUGUGGUGGGUAGGAUGGCACCCUCUCUGUGUUGGCCCAGCGUGUAUUGAAUAGGUGCAGAAAGUACAUGGGUUGGCGCUCGAUUGGGUAGAUCUCUCUCAGCACUACACUUGGAGGUAGCAAAGAUCUCAGCAGUCAUCUGAUCCAAGUGCCUCGGGUUACAGAUGAAGAAAGAAGUUAAGUAGAAAGAAGGACUUGUGUGGUUCGCAACUGGCGCAGUCAUGGCUGGCUGGAGCCCAAGACUUGAAGCCCUUCUUUCCUCCUGGAAGGCUCAGGGCCAGAGGCGACCUCAGAAUGGAUUCCCCUCUCCCCCUGCCACGCGGUGCGACACCUGUUUCCCAAUUCUCAGUCAUGAUCCUUUUCUGUAUCUGUUGGCCCCUCCUGUCCUUCAAUCCAUGCUUUGUAAAUUCUAAUUAUCUAAAUGCCCUUCUCAUUUCGCUGGAAGAGUAUUUUAUAUUUCGUUUGCAUAUCUGACUUUUGAAUCUACCGACAAAAAUACUGAAUAGUUUAUAGGAAAAUGGAUACAUAUUGAAGAUAUACUCCUAAGUGAAAUAAAGAAGUCACACAUGUGUAAAUACCGAAUAGUUUCUCUGGUGUGAAUAAUCUGCAAUAAUACAGAAGAUCCUAGUAAGAUUACUGACAUUUAGAAAUGGGAAGAAAGGAGC